GAUGAAGAACGCAGCGAAAUGCGAUAAGUAGUGUGAAUUGCAGAAUUCAGUGAAUCAUCGAAUCUUUGAACGCACAUUGCGCCCCUUGGUAUCCCGAGGGGCAUGCCUGUUCGAGCGUCAUUUCACCCAAGCCUGGCUUGGUGUUGGGCGACGUCCCCUUUGGGGACGCGCCUCGAAACGCUCGGCGGCGUGGCACCGGCUUUAAGCGUAGCAGAAUCUUUCGCUUUGGAAGUCGGGGCCCCGUCUGCCGGAAGACCUACUCGCAAGGUUGACCUCGGAUCAGGCAGGGAUACCCGCUGAACUUAAGCAUAUCAAUAAGCGGAGGA
rnacentral:misc_RNA from 1 species